rnacentral:rRNA from 1 species
UCGAGAAUCUUCCGCAAUGGACGAAAGUCUGACGGAGCGACGCCGCGUGAUGGAUGAAGUCCCUCUGGGACGUAAACAUCUUUUGUCGUGGAGAAAGUUUUGAUAGUACACGAAGAAUAAGGGGUUGCUAAACUCGUGCCAGCAGCAGCGGUAAUACGAGUGCCCCAAGCGUUAUCCGGAAUUAUUGGGCGUAAAGGGUGUGUAGGUGGUGGUAUUAGUCUUCUGUCAAAUUCUUCGGCUCAACCGGGGUCCUGCGGAGGAAACGGUACCACUAGAGGAUGCGAGGGGUGAAUGGAACUCAUGGAGUAGGGGUGAAAUCCGUUGAUAUCAUGGGGAACACCGAAAGCGAAGGCAAUUCACUGGCGCAUUCCUGACACUGAAACACGAAAGCGUGGGUAGCGAACGGGAUUAGAUACCCGGGUAGUCC